ACCUGCUGGUCUCACCGCUAGGGCCUGGGCAUCACAGGCAGGGGGAAUGGGGAGGGGACGGUAGCGUCAGCCUACACCCACACGCAGUUUCCUGAUAAAAGGUCCUUUGGAAACUUUGAUUCUCUUCUCACCAAGUUGAACGGAGAUGUGUUCCCAUAGUAAGAGUGAGGCCCCUGCAUUUGCUGCCCUCGGUUUUCCCAACUAACACCAGGGCCUCCCCCCUGUACCCCAUUCAUAUGCCUCAGAAGCUGACAAUGACUGUUGGGCUUUUCCAAUGAAUACCAGAACACCAUUUCCUGCAGCCUGAAAAGAAGACAGUAUAAUUGUUUGGCAGCAAGAGAAUCCAGGUGCCCUUCCAUGAGAAGCCCAAGCCAUGUGGAGAAGCCACGUCUAGGGACUCCAGUUAACACUCUCAGCUGAGUCCCCAGCUGACAGUCAGCAUCAACUGCCAGCCACCUCUGUCUAAAAGUGGGCUAUCUUGGGCAUCCAGCCCAGUCAAGCCUUCAGAUGAGUCCAGUCCCAGCCACUAUCUCACACAACCACACGAGAGACAUCAAGAACUCCCAGUGGAGUCCAGUCAGCCCAUGGAACUGCAAGAGACAGGAUCUCGCUGCGUUGCUCAGACUGGUCUCGAACUCCUGGGCUUAAGGGAUUCUCCUGCCUCAAUCACAGCCUCCCAAGUAGCUGAGAUUAAAAGUGCUCACCACCGUGCCAGCGAGUUCAGUUUUUGAGGCCAAGCUCAUAUGCCAAUUUCCUCAUGGAACCUUUCACUCCUCCAUCUCUUCGCCAAGUUGAAAUGUUAACUUCUGCUUCUCUGGGAUACUUCGGACCUUUGUUUAAAGCUCUCCCAUCUGCUUUCUGCGCUAUGUUUAGGGUUAUGUCUGGAUGGGAAUAGGUCUGUCUCUUGCCACUACUGGUAAAAUUGGUUCUUGCUUAGCAUGAUGUGGGCUCCCCACAUCUGGCACAGUGACUUGCGCAGGGUGGAGCCAAGACUCUGAGGAGAGGGCUGAACUGUGAACCUAGAAGUACCAUCUCCCCCUGCACACACCUUUGGUCAAGUUGACCCCAAGAAGAAGGACAAGUCCUCUGCACGGCGAUGAGGCCAUACACACAGUCUGUGGCCCGGCUUUGGGAGACUGAUGGGACAAAGGAUGUUUUGCACGAUCCUUGGUCUCUGAGCAAAUAUAUACAUGGGUUAACACAAA
rnacentral:lncRNA from 1 species